UGCUUCUCCUCUUUGUGUCAUCAAUUUGGUGAUGAAGACAAGGAGUGUUGAGUACAUGCCUUUCUAUCUCUCUCUUGCAACCUUCGCGAUGAGUCUCUCUUUCUUUGCAUAUGGAAUGUUGAAGUUUGAUCCUUUCAUUUAUGUCCCAAAUGGAAUUGGAACAAUUUUGGGGAUAUGUCAAUUGGUUUUGUACUCAUAUUAUAGCAGCGAAUAUGGCGAAGACUCGAGAGAACCCUUGAUAGCCCAAUAUGCCUGAGCACAUCCCUUGGCAAUAAUACAUGGAGUUUGAUUCUGAUCUAGUGAUUUCAAGUUGCAACAUUCCGACAGAUAUAUGCUGCUGCAUGAUCAGUAAAGUAGAUUAUUGUUAUUAAAUAAUCAAUGGAUUCUGAUAAUACUCGAUGCACUCUUAUUUGCAAGAGAGGAAGAAAAUAAGAGGAGUGAUAGCAAGACAGCAAAUUUUUCUUGGUUGUUCCAAAUGGGCGGGUUCUAUUGAUGACAACUACUCAUCUAUUACAGCAGUAACCCACUGUACUCUUUGAUAAUGCCAUGGCAAGCGUGUUAUUACACCAUCAUUUCCAAUUUCAUGCUGCUGCAGUACUGCUCACAUUGAUUGUUUUGUUUAUUUGUAAUUAGCAAUCCUAAUAGUCGUUAGUUGUUUUGUACUACAGAUUUGAAGUUUGAGAAUUUAUAAUGUUUGAUCCCAUUGUAUCUGUCUGUCUGUCUGUCUAUUACAUAAAAGUUUCAAGGUCGG
rnacentral:misc_RNA from 1 species